UCCAAUCAAGCCUGGCUUGGUAUUGGGCGUCGGGGGUCCCCCGCGCCUCAAUUUCACCGGCUGGCCGUCGCCCGUCUUAGCGUUGUGACACACUUCUCGCUACCGAUGAGGCCGGACCACGCCGUCAAAACUCCACGAAUUUCAAUCGAAAUUUGAUUAAGGUUGACCUCGGAUCGGGUAGGAAUACCCGCUGAACUUAA
rnacentral:misc_RNA from 1 species